CAAGUUUUAAACAAGCUGUUAACAACUUGUAACAAGCUUGAUGACAUUAUCAGACUUGUUACAAGGUUGUUCCAACAAGUCCGAUACAGUCAUGAGAUAACAAUGUGUUACGACCUUGUGUCGUCAACCUUGUAACAUUCUUGUUAUAUCAUGACUGUAUCAGACUUGUUAGAAAAACCUUGUAACAAGUCUGAUAAUGCCAUCAAGUUUGUUCCAAACUUUUCGACAGCUUGUGAACAGAUUUG